ensembl:lncRNA
GUAUUUGCACACAUGCAGAAAUAACCGUACACUGGGCAAGGAGGAUUUUCCUGCAGUUAGAGUACAUUUCAAACAUUUUUAUUUCUUUGGGAAGGAAUUUUCUGCCACACUGCUGUUCAAAAAAUUGGGUUUGCAGAAUGUGGUCAGCCACCAAAUGGCAUCUGGGUUUUAUUGCAAGCCCUUUGUGACAUGUUCAGUUGAUAAUGUAUACAAAAUAAUGUAUACAAAAACCGACCAUUGUAUGAGUGACAUAUGCUGGAAUACUUUCAUGUCCGUAGUCAUGUCUACCGUGUUCUAAAUAACUGGGUUUGUUGGGUGGUUUUGGUUUCUUUUAUAAAAUUUUGUUUCAGAUUCUGAGGAAUCUGAAUACACUUUUUGAAUUGUAUUGAAACUAUUAAAUGAAUUUCAAACAAAAACUCGAGUGGCAAGUAGCUUCUGGCCUAUUCAUUUUAAAAGCAUAAAGUGAGUUUGCUUUUAAAAUCAAGCUAAGUCGAUAGAGGAAAUGGAAUUGCUUUGCUAGACAAAGUUGAAAACAUUAAACUGAAAUAUUUUAAGUUCACCAACACCCAUCAUUGUUAGUGGAGCUAUAGAAGACUGACCCGAACUGCGCUGUGCUUAGUGGCUCAGUCUUGCCCGACUCUCUGCAACCCCAUGGACUGUAGCCCUGCCAGGCUCAUCUGUCCACAGGGAUUCUCCAGGCAAGAAGACUGGAGUGGGUUGCCAAGAAUAUUCACCUAAUUAUCUGUUAAAGGAUGAAUAUUCUAAAUGCAGGGUAUAGUAAUUUAAUCAAAAGCUGUUGUCUCUUCAAAAACUAAGAUAAGGUGUGUUUCCUUAGUAGCUGGCAGAAUGAUAGUUGCGAAGGGUUUUGGUACUAAGUUAUUCAUUUGACUUUAGUGUAAAAUGUUCAGUCUGCGUAAUCUGUUCACUUCUUUAUUAAGCUCCCAGGCCUUGUGCUGAAUGUACAUCUCAUUUAAUUUUUAGUUCAGCCUUGUAACUUAGGUUAUGCUAUUAGUCCCAUUUUACGUAAGGGGAAACCCAAGAAGAAGGAGAUUGAAUAACUUGCCCAGGGUUAUAGCUCAUGAGUCCUAGACGUGGAAUUCAAAUCCAGUUAUAUUGUAUUCUAAAGCCUGUGCUCUGUGCCCCUCUACUAACCCUGUCCAGUAAGGUGGGAACUUUCGAUGGUGUCCACCAUUUUUGACCCAUAGAAACGGCAGUUUCAUAUGACUAACUGGUACUUACAGUCGAGAUGAACCACAUCAGAGUUGAGAAAAGUGAUAGACAGUAUUCAUUUCCUUAUGUAUCAAAUCCCUUAUGGUUAUACCAUUUGACAAUAGCUACUCUGUUCUGCCUUUUUAAAUAUUUGAAGAUAACUUUUCUGCCCACAGUUCUUCAGUGGUCCCCCGCCACAGUUGAAAAAAGCCCAGAGAGGCCUGUGGGUCCAGGUGCCCUCGCCUCCUGCUGCCUUGGUGGCCUUGUGUUGGGCUCUUCCAGCCCCUAGCCCCUUCUGUUCAAAGUCCUACUCCAGGACUUUGCUUCAGUGUUUCCUCUCCUUGCUGAGUUUUUCGCACACAUCUCAAAGCACCGCCCUCCCAUACACUUUUUCUCAAGACUUACAAGAGAAGGCUUCCCUUGCCACCCUGUAUAAAAUAGUGUAUGUGUGUAUUUAAGACACGCACACCUGCCAUUUGCUCUCUGCUUACGCAUCCACCCCUCUUAUAAUUCUUUUCAUGGCGUUUAUUUCCACCUGACACUGUCUUUGUUGCUGUUCAGUCUCAGUUAUGUCCGACUCCUUGCGACCCCAUGGACCGCACACCAGGCUUCCCUGUCCUUCACCAUCUCCCGGAACUUGUUCAAACUCACAUUUGUUGAGUCAGUGAUACCAUUCAACUGUCUCAUCCUCUGUUGCCCCGUUCUCUUUUUGCCUUCAGUCUUUCCCAGCAUCAGAGUCUUUUCCAAUGAGCUUGCUCUUCUCAUCAGGUGGCCAAGCUAUUGGAGCUUCAGCAUCAGUCCUUCCAAUGAAUAUUCAGGACUGAUUUCCUUUAGGGUGGACUGAUGGAAUCUCCUUGCCGUCCAAGGGAUUCUCAAGAGUCUUCUCCAAGACCACAGCUCAGAUGCAUCACUUCUUCCCUACUCAGCCUUCUUUAUGGUCCAACUCUCACAUAUGUACAUGACACUGUCUACCUAUGGGUAAAUUUGUCUCCUCCCACUACACUGUGAGCUCCUUGAGAGCAAAGACUUUACUUUGUUCUGUUUGGAACUCCCAACCCCUCAAGACUGAAUGUUCAUGUAGGCACAUUAAACAUAUGUUACAAAAAAUAUUAAGUGCUUCCAGAUUUCAGAAAGAGAGAGAGUGCUUUAGAGCAGUAAGUAGCUGGACCAUACAGGGAAGAACGGGGUCCAGACAGGGUGAGGCCUCCCAACUGUCCACCAGUAUCCACAGUAGCUCUUCCUUUUAUCUCAGACUCCUACCUACCUGGCACAUAUUUGAUGUGUACGUAUUAUACCAUUAAUUACACAACAAAUGACAAGUACAGUGAGGAACAGAAAUUCUUGAAAUACAUUGCUUGCCUUGCAGUAGCUUAAAAAGCUAAAAGUUAAUGUGGAAAAGACUGCUGCUGCUGCUGCUAAGUUGCUUCAGUCGUGUCCAACUCUGUGCAACCCCAUAGACGGCAGCCCACCAGGCUCCCCCAUCCCUGGGAUUCUCCAGGCAAGAACACUGGAGUGAGUUGCCAUUUCCUUCUCCA